UACGUAGGGUGCAAGCGUUGUCCGGAAUUAUUGGGCGUAAAGAGCGUGUAGGCGGCUCGGUAAGUCCGCUGUGAAAGUCCAGGGCUCAACCCUGGAAUGCCGGUGGAAACUGUCGAGCUCGAGUCCGGAAGAGGCGAGUGGAAUUCCUGGUGUAGCGGUGAAAUGCGCAGAUAUCAGGAGGAACACCAAUGGCGAAGGCAGCUCGCUGGGACGGUACUGACGCUGAGACGCGAAAGCGUGGGGAGCAAACAGG
rnacentral:rRNA from 1 species